AAACGACAUUCUCUGAUAACUUUGUAAACACAGCAGUUAUGCCCUUAAAGAUGGCGCCUCCGGGGUGGUCACGUGACAAUAAUUUGCCUGAGGGAACUAUUCCUGAGGUGACAUUCUUUUCAGCUGUUUUAUCGACGCCUUUCUUCGGUUGAAUCACCGAUUUAACGAUUACAUGAGACGUGAUACAUUCCAAUCUGCUAAACGAAGUAUGGAUUGUCCAGAGACUUCUCACACACAUGUUCAGGAGCUACAGGCUGUUGUUGGAUGGAUGUAUCUAGAUUCAGCUCAGGACCUUCAGAGGCGUAGUAUUCCUGACCCAUGAAUAGGACAUUUUCCUCUCUGCUGAUCCGUGAUCUGCUGUAAGAAGCUCUCCGUCUCACGCAUCCUGGAAUCUCCAUUAAAAUAUUGGCAAGAGCAGCAUGAACAUUCGUGAAAAUAUCUCCAUUUGUUUAAGAAGAAAGGACUGGGUGAACAAUUUGAGG